AAUUAAUAUAAGCUUUUAUAGUAUAUGUCUUGAAAACAUAAGAAAGAAGUAAAAUCUUCUAUUAAUUU
rnacentral:tRNA from 1 species